AUUCUCCACCCACAGCACAGAAAACCGAAUUUGAGUAAUUCCUAGGGUUUAUCCCUCUCUUCCUCUUUCUCUCUCUCUCUCUCUAAAUUCCCAAACCCUAGGAACCUCUGCCACUGAGAUUUCAUACUGCGUCUACCUGCAUGCAAAGGAGUCUCUUGAACGAUUUGAAUUGUUUUGGCAAGGAGAGCAGAGGCUGUUGAGUGGGAGCUGUGGAAGUCGAUCUUGGAUAAGUUUUAGGAUUUUAGUGUCAAGAUUGUAUGCAUGUGACAGGGGUUAUUUUAAUGUGAUUAAGCUCAAGAAUUCCCAGCAGUGAAAUUCUUUCCCAUGUUUGGACGUCAAGCUAUAUAAUCUGAGAUGUAUGGUCAAGGGAACUACGCUCCUCAGUUUAGGCAUGGUCCUCCUGCCACACUGCCACCACCUUACCAGCAAGGCCCUCUGGUCCCACCUCCUACUUACCAGCAAAUCCCUCCGGCCCCACCUCCCCCUUACCAUCAAGGUUCUCCAGCUCCACCUCCCGUUUACCAGCAAGGUCCUCCAGCUCCACCACCUCCUUCCUUCCAUCAUGGCCCACCUGCACCACCACCUUUGAUUCAUCCAGGCCAUCCUCAACAAGUUCAAGUUCCACCUCCGGGAAUGGUGAACAUGGGGCAACCAUAUUUGCAUCCACCUCCAGUCCAUGGAAGUGCCACUGUGGCACCAUCCUAUACAACUCCCCAACAGAAUCCUCAAUAUCCUCCAUCUAUAGGAGCUCAAAAUGUCCAUCAUGUCAACCCACCUGUGCCUCCCACCCCAGUUCCGCCACUUACUGGACCAAGCCCCCCGCCCCCUAGAGUGUUACCUCCUCCAGUUCCUUCACCAGGACAAAUGUUGUAUCGAACAUCACCUCCGAUGCCCCCACAUGGAACCAUGCAAGGGCUUCAACAUUUGCGGCCCCUGCCUCCCCCACCCCCUUCUGGCUUUGUUCCAAUCACACCUGCUCCUUUUGCAUCUUUCACUCAGGGUGAUGCCCAUCCACCUUCCAUGCCGCCACCAAUGCCUCCACCUCCCCCUUCUUCUCCUCCACCCCUUCCACCAUCACCGCCGCCACCUUCCUCCCCUCCACCAAAUAAUCUUGCAGUUGGGGUUUCUGAGGCCUCAUCUCUUAUCUCUUCAAAUCCUGCAUUAGACAUGUCUCGCCAUUCAGGGUCUGAUUUUGGUUCUGACAAAGUUAGCGAUUCUGCAGAGAUGACUGUUGAUAAUGAAGUGGGUCCCACCCAGGUGAAGGAUGAUGCAUCCAUACCUGGGGGUUGCACUCAUAGUGAAGUUGACACCAGCUGUGAGGUGGAUUCUGUUAUGGUGAAUGGGGUUACACCAAAAGGACAAGCAUUGGUCGAUCUUCCUUUGCCUCCACCAAAGCCAGUGGACGAAGAAGUUGUUCGCAAUAUCGAGGUUUUGUGCCAGUUUAUUGCUAAGGUUGGGCCUGAGUUUGAAAACUUAGCUCGCACCAAAGAAGCUGGGAACCCAAAGUUUGCAUUCUUGUUUGGAGGUGAACCUGGAAGUGCUGCUGCAGUUGGGCAUGAAUAUUUUCGGUGGAUGAAGAAGAAAUGUCAUUUGGAAUUUAAAGUGCGUAAUGAAUCUGAGCAAAGUGAUCCAGCACCGCGGCCUUCAGAAAUUGAAUCUUCUCUGCAGUCCAUUAGUUCAAUAGAUGAUGGUCUAUCUGUUUCACCUGCUGUAUCAGACAUGGAUGUGGAAGAUGAUGUAAACCAGCCUGACAAAGACGAGGGUAUUUGUCAAUCUAUAGACGAUUCAAAAGGGGAGCCUGCUUCGGUGUGCAAUGAGGCACUUCUUCUGAAAGGACAAUUGCUUGCAACUCAGAGUUCAACAAAGCCACUGAUGCAGGAGGAUGUGUCUGGAACUCUCUCCGGUUCUGGGUCUUCACCACUGCUUCUUGGGCAAGGAAAAGAAGACGAUCAAUCCACAUUUGCAAGGCCACAUACUGAAGAUCUUAGCCUGGUCAGGAGUUCAUCCAAAGCUAUUGAAUGCACCUUAGAUAGCAACAUGCAGGCAUCUAAUAAGCGUCUCAUUGCAUAUUCAAGUCCUGUCAAGGUUUCACCGCCUACUGGAGGUGGCUAUAGUGAGGAGAUUCCAAGGGUAAUUGUUAAAGAUGGGAGUCCAUUCAAACUCAUACAGGAUUAUGCUUCUGAUGACAGUGCUGAUGAUGAUAAAGGCACAUGCCUAGAAGAUGUCAGCCCCGUAAGGGUUUCGCCACCAGUUACACAGGAUAUCUCAUGUGUGAAUGAAGAUAAGAGGAACGAUAUGGAUUCAGAUUUAGAUGUAAAGAAUGUUUCCACAACUGAAAUAGGAUUCAGCAUUGCCACUGGGUUGACAGAAGCUGCCCAAAAUUCAGACAGUUCAGUGUUACUGAACAAAGUGGCAUCACCAACUGUCAUAGUUCGAGACUUGUUGGAUUCAGGUGAAAAAACUGAUGAGCUUAGUAUUCACAAGGACAAAUGUCAGGCGUCGAUUGGUGGAACAGAAUCUUUGGAGGUUCUCAAUCAUAAUGAUGCUUUACCAGGAAAUGAUUUUGAUUUUGAUGUCCAGCCUGAAAAGUUUCAUCAGGAAGUGGAUGCAAAGCGAGCUUCUACUGCAUUGAAUGUGGAUGAGUUUGGUAGAUUGGUAAGAGAAGGUGGUAGUGACAGUGAUUCUGAUGGGAUGCAUUAUGCUGGAAGGCGCAGUAAGAGAGGCAGAAGCUGGAGUAGAAGCCGGUCACCUCAAGAGGGUAGAUGGAGGAGGAGGAGUCGUAGUCCAUGGAGGAGAAGGGACAAACGAAGCCGAUCUCGCAGCCGGUCUCCCAAGAAACACAGAAGCAGGAGCAAGUCUCCACCAGCUUUCAGGCGCAUGGGUGAGUUUGGUAAUGAGAAAUUGAGACGAGAUAAUAGAAGUCAGCCUGAGUGUUUUAACUUCCUUAGAGGCAGAUGCUACCGUGGAGCAUCUUGCAGGUUUCUCCACCGUGAUUCUGCCGUAGGUGAUGCUCGAAGAUGGAAUAGGGGUAAGCAAGAGCCACAUCAGGAGUUUCAGCAAAAUACAAGAGACCCCACUUUGCAUGGAGAUGCUCAUUAUGCUGUGGAGGCACAUGAAGCUAAGAAUAGCAUGGGAGUGGAAUUGAGUGCUGAUAAACAUGAUUUUUCACAUGAGGAAGGAAAGAGCUUAGAUGUGCAAAACGGACCGGAUAUGUUGCUCAACAGUGUUGAGGCUACAAAGGAUGGGGACUUGGACGAGAAAAAAGGACAGGAUUCUUUAAAAGACGACACACAACCUGCUAUUUCAAAUGAAUUUGGUCAAACACAGGUUACUAUUACUUCUGGGGAAUUAAGUCAUUCUCAGGGCUCUAAAGAGGUGCUCGAUCAAAUUCAGGAGCCACAGGAAACUCAACAAGUGCAGGAGGGACCCAGUAUUCAACCUCCAGACAAGGAGGGCUCUCAGCAGCCAGUAGAGAGUCAAGAUAUCCAGCCUCUGCCUGCUGACAGCUUCCCCACUGGACCUGAACCUGUUGCUGAAACCCACCAUUCGCCUGGUGAUGUGAUCGGUGAAACUUCAGUGCCUCAGCCUCCCCAAGCCAAUAUUUCUGAUUCCCUUUCUGUUCCGGAGCUUCAGAAUGUUUCAACCCAUCCUCCACAUGUGGAAGGCUCUUCGACAUCUCAUCCUUUACCAGUUCAGACAUUUCCACCCUCAUCUUUCUCAAACCAGCCCCCUCAGUCUCAGCCCUAUCCGAGUCAGGUACCUGUAGCUCCAUUGUAUCCAGAUCAGAUGCCUAUGGGCCAGCCAUAUUCAAAUCAGGUUCCUGGAAGCCAGCCAUAUCCAUCUGAGAGUUUCAGACCUCCGCCUUUCCCUCAGCCACCCACCUUUUCAGGUGGAGACUUCCGGUUUCCACCAUCCCAGCUACCACCACCUCCUCAGCUGCAUCCUUCCCCUCCUUUCCCUCAAGAUACUCUCAAUGCACUGCAUGCUUCACACCCUCCAAGAGAACAUCACUUGCAACCACCAGGGGUGAACUUUCAGUCUCAGCCUUUACCAGUUGAAAGAUACCCUUCUCAUCGACCUCCUUUUGUCGACUACCAUUCUCAGCAUGCACCUCCACCAAAUCACUCUUGGGCCAGCCUCCCUCCACCACCAUUUGCAAAUGAAUCAGCUCCAGGACCCGCUAUUCCUAAUAGCGAUUUUCGUCCAUUGCAGUUUCAGCAGAAUCCAAUGCUUCCAAGGAAUAAUGAACCUCAGCCAUUGUUGAGGCCCUUCCCAACUGACACACCUCCUCAGUACCGGACAUUCCCUUCAAUGGAGGACCCUCGCCAGCCCGCUGUGGACAAUCUACGGGAUCAUUCAUUUGGGGGCUCCAAUUUCAUGAGAGAACAUCGUUUUAUGCAUCCAACAAUGCCUGAAGGUCAGUUUAACACUGGGCGUCCCCAGGACUAUCAUUCACAUCCUCUGCCUCCGCUUCGAGAAGAAUACCCUGGCCCCCUUUCAGUCAGGGAGAAUGUUGGGAGCUUUCAACCACUGCAGGAUCCAAGGUUUACUUCUUCCAGUGCCUUGACUCAAACUAUACACUCGCAGCCUCCACCAUUUCCAAGGGAACCCUCGCAAGUGCAUUCCUAUGGGUCACAGAUCCCCACCAGUGGUGGUUUUUCAUCACAUAUGGGUGUGCCUGGCAAUGUUGAUUCAUCUCUCUCAAGAUACCCAUCGAGCUUUCCGGUUGGCAAUCAGCCAUCUCGUCUGUCUGAUGGUGCUGGAUUGAAAACUUCCACCUCAACCCACUAUAAUCCGUUUGCUUCUACUUUUGAACAGACACCUGCAAGCUUGAAAUCAAAUUCCAGCAUUUCCAGGAGAGAGAUUGACUCGAACUACAGUACUAAGUAUGAUUCUCCAUUCAGUUUGAGUCAUGGCCCUGUGAGUGUGCAAGGUAGUGGUGGGCCUGGAGCAAGGCACUUGUCUUCGCCGCCAGAUUCUGGCAGGUUUGGGGGCCAGUUUUUGCCAAAGUCAGGCAGGGAGCUGGUAGCUGGUGACCAAUAUGACCCAUUAUUUGACAGCAUAGAGCCAUCUACGAAUGUGUUCAAGAAGUUUGAUCAUGUUCAUGGUCGGGAGUCCACUUUUGAACCCAUAAGUGGGUCCGUUGCUGGACGAGCUAAUGAGACGUUGAGACUCAGCAGCUUGCAUGGGCCUCUGGAUGUAGAAGAGAAGCGGAAAGAUGGCGUGGCUACUCAUGUUAAGCCUCCAGAAAAUGAUGAAUUUGACGGUGCUGCAAUUGAUGCUGAAGUUGGUACUGUGGAGAAUGUGAGCCCUCAACCAGGUGAAGGGAAGAACUGGAGUCCAGCUAAUCCAAUUGAUCUGAUGAACACAGCUGUGGGAGAGAUUGAGAUCGAUCAGGUUCAGUCUCCUAGCAAGAGCAAGAAGAGCAAGGAUUCAAGGUCAAUGAAGCUUUUCAAGAUUGCCAUUGCUGAUUUUGUGAAGGAGGUUCUUAAGCCGUCAUGGCGACAGGGGAACAUGAGCAAGGAGGUGUUCAAGACCAUUGUUAAGAAAACUGUUGAUAAGGUGUCUGGAGCAAUGCAGAGCCACCAGAUACCCAAAAGUCAGGCAAAAAUCAAUCAAUAUGUUGAGUCAUCGCAGCGGAAGCUGACUAAACUUGUAAUGGGAUAUGUUGACAAGUACACCAAGAUAUAGGCUAUGAAAUCAUACUCUGGCACGGAUUCUUAUGAUAAGUGCAGAAGGAUUCCAAAAUGAGAGGAGGGCUUUAUGAGGCUUGAUAGUGAAAUUGCUUUAGGGAAAAAAGGGAUUUGGAUUCUGAGCAGAUGAGCUUUGUGGGAAACUGGUGUAAAUGCAAUCCUCCGCAAUUUCGUAGGAGCUCCCAAACGUGAGGUAUCACCGACUAGAAGAAAUCGUAUUUGAAAACCUACAAAUUUCUCUACCCAAACGACAGUUAAAUACAGUCUCCUUUCUUUCCCCCCCUUGAUGCCAUUCCCAUUUUGUAGACGUUUCUAGAGGUUCCUCAUUCUUAUCUGCAUCUCCUCUGUACAUGUGGCACAUCUUGGUCGUUUGGGAUCUUGAUUUGGUGGCUCAACCAUAGUUUGAAAACCUGAAAACUCAACUCCACUCGAUCUCCAGCUGCCCCAGGUGAGUCUGUACUUAACUCGAUAUUUAAUACAGAACAUUAUAUAUUCUUAAAAGCAGCUAUGAUACCCUAAAUAAUAUAAAAUAACCUUAGUAUACAUAACCAUGUUUAUGGUUCACCAGUAGAAACUGCUUGCUUUAUCCAGUAGAGGUUUUGGUUUCCAAACACCAGUCUCCCUUUUUGCCUUUACUGAUGGGCCAAGUGACCAGUAAGACUAGCCUUUGACCAGGCGAGUGAUGGCUCAAGUCAAUUCAGUAACCCCCCUGGUAGAGUUGACUUGACUGGUCUUGCCAAGUCGGGCUCAACUCAACCUUAGGAGCUUGCUGAGUCAGGAGCAAGUCAGCCUAAGGAGUGAGUUUCAGAGCGACUCGCCUCGAAAUCUUGUGAAGUUGAGUUGACAAUUAGCGUAUCUUGCUGAGUCAGGAUCAAGUCAGCCGUAGGAGCAUGUUUCAGACUUGCCUCGAAAUCUUCAUAGUCUAGUUGACUCUGCUGAGUGGACAGGUAAAGGAGAAGUAAAGGAAUAACAAAAUGACUGCCUAACUUGGCCAAAGAGACAGGGUUGUUAAGUCACUAUGUUCCACUCUCCCUCUCUCUUCGUUUUGUUUCUUUUUUCUUCUUUCACCUUAAAGUUCCUUGAGAAUUCUGAUAACAUUCAAUUGACCAUUCCUAAGUAGAUGGUGUUGGUCAAAAUUCCUUCGUCUAUUUUUUCUCUAAAAGUGGAGUUGAGCACUGUGGGUUGCAUGCAUGUAUAGCAUCUAACCUUUCUGACAUAGCACACCCCACCAUGAUGAUUGGACAAACCAAGUCAGUAUAAUCCAAUCAUCAUGUGGGUUGUGGCAAAU